GCCAGACAGUCGGCAGCAGGGAGCAUGCCAUGGGCCAUGAGGCAGGAAGUGGCCCAAACCAUGAGGUCCGAUGGAGAAAACAAAGACCCAGCUUGGAGUGACUGAAAUGGAGGCACCUACUUGCAAGCCCAGGCUUUCGGAGAGAAUCUAGAUCCUUAGAGGGUGGGACCUGCCUUGCUCUCUGAGGAAAGGUUUGCCUGACUGGACCAGGUGUGUUAAAGAUUGGAAGCACUGGUAAUACCAUCAUUUAAAGCUCCUGGUACUUGGGACUUCAUCAUGUACAGUGUAGGAUGCUGUGCAGAGAACUGGAAAUGCAAUAUCAAGAAAGAGUGCCUCUCCCACUCCAGAGCAUCAGGAGGACG